CGAGUUGGUGGCUAGGGUUCCGGCAUCCCGCGGGAUGUGCUGGUCCGAGAGCUGCCACUGCUCCGGGAGACAUCCGGGGCGGGUGCACGGCGGGAUAAAAGCCCGGGAGAC
rnacentral:sRNA from 18 species